rnacentral:rRNA from 1 species
AACGAACGCUGGCGGCAUGCCUAACACAUGCAAGUCGAACGAGACCUUCGGGUCUAGUGGCGCACGGGUGCGUAACGCGUGGGAACCUGCCCUUAGGUUCGGAAUAACUCCCCGAAAGGGGUGCUAAUACCGGAUAAUGUCUUCGGACCAAAGAUUUAUCGCCUUUGGAUGGGCCCGCGUUGGAUUAGCUAGUUGGUAGGGUAAAAGCCUACCAAGGCGACGAUCCAUAGCUGGUCUGAGAGGAUGAUCAGCCACACUGGGACUGAGACACAGCCCAGACUCCUACGGGAGGCAGCAGUGGGGAAUAUUGGACAAUGGGCGAAAGCCUGAUCCAGCAAUGCCGCGUGAGUGAUGAAGGCCUUAGGGUUGUAAAGCUCUUUUACCCGGGAUGAUAAUGACAGUACCGGGAGAAUAAGCGCCGGCUAACUCCGU